rnacentral:rRNA from 1 species
UACGUAGGGGGCAAGCGUUGUCCGGAUUUAUUGGGCGUAAAGAGCGUGUAGGCGGCCUUACAGGUCAGCUGUGAAAACUCGAGGCUCAACCUCGAGACGUCGGUUGAAACCGUAAGGCUAGAGUCCGGAAGAGGAGAGUGGAAUUCCCGGUGUAGCGGUGAAAUGCGCAGAUAUCGGGAAGAACACCCGUGGCGAGGGCGGCUCUCUGGGACGGUACUGACGCUGAGACGCGAAAGCGUGGGGAGCGAACAGG